rnacentral:rRNA from 1 species
UACGUAGGGUGCGAGCGUUUGUCCGGAAUUAUUGGGCGUAAAGAGCUUGUAGGCGGUUUGUCGCGUCUGCUGUGAAAAUCCGGGGCUCAACCCCGGACUUGCAGUGGGUACGGGCAGACUAGAGUGUGGUAGGGGAGACUGGAAUUCCUGGUGUAGCGGUGAAAUGCGCAGAUAUCAGGAGGAACACCGAUGGCGAAGGCAGGUCUCUGGGCCACUACUGACGCUGAGAAGCGAAAGCAUGGGGAGCGGACAGG